rnacentral:rRNA from 1 species
GACGAAGGGGGCUAGCGUUGUUCGGAAUUACUGGGCGUAAAGCGCGUGUAGGCGGUUGUCCAAGUUGGAUGUGAAAGCCUUGAGCUUAACUCAAGAAAUGCAUUCAGGACUGGAUGACUAGAGGACCGGAGAGGAUAGUGGAAUUCCCAGUGUAGUGGUGAAAUACGUAGAGAUUGGGAAGAACACCAGUGGCGAAGGCGGCUAGCUGGGCCAACACUGACGCUGAUGCGCGAAAGCUAGGGUAGCAAACGGG